AGGACCGGCUAACUCCGUGCCAGCAGCCGCGGUAAUACGGAGGGUCCGAGCGUUAUCCGGAAUCAUUGGGUUUAAAGGGUCCGUAGGCGGGCCUGUAAGUCAGGGGUGAAAGUUUGUGGCUCAACCAUAAAAUUGCCUUUGAUACUGCAGGUCUUGAGUCAUGGUGGGGUUGCCGGAACAUGUGGUGUAGCGGUGAAAUGCAUAGAUAUCACAUAGAACACCGAUCGCGAAGGCAGGUGACCAACCAUGUACUGACGCUGAUGGACGAAAGCGUGGGUAGCGAACGGGAUUAGAUACCCCGGUAGUCCACGCCGUAAACGAUGGAUACUAGCUGUGGGGACUUCGGUCUCCGUGGCCAAGCGAAAGUGAUAAGUAUCCCACCUGGGGAGUACGUUCGCAAGAAUGAAACUCAAAGGAAUUGACGGGGGCCCGCACAAGCGGUGGAGCAUGUGGUUUAAUUCGAUGAUACGCGAGGAACCUUACCAGGGCUUAAAUGCAGGCUGCAUGGGGUAGAGAUACCCCUUUCUUCGGACCGCCUGCAAGGUGCUGCAUGGUUGUCGUCAGCUCGUGCCGUGAGGUGUCAGGUUAAGUCCUAUAACGAGCGCAACCCCUACCGUUAGUUGCCAGCAUGUCAAGAUGGGGACUCUAACGGGACUGCCGGUGCAAACCGUGAGGAAGGUGGGGACGACGUCAAAUCAUCACGGCCCUUACGUCCUGGGCUACACACGUGCUACAAUGGCCGGUACAGAGGGAAGCCACCCCGCAAGGGGGCGCGGAUCUACAAAACCGGUCACAGUUCGGAUCGGGGUCUGCAACUCGACCCCGUGAAGCUGGAAUCGCUAGUAAUCGGAUAUCAGCCAUGAUCCGGUGAAUACGUUCCCGGGCCUUGUACACA
rnacentral:rRNA from 1 species